GCUGAAGUGGCGGAACUGGCAGACGCGCAUGAUUCAGGGUCAUGUGGACUUCGGUUCAUGUGGGUUCGACUCCCACCUUCAGCACCA
rnacentral:tRNA from 3 species